rnacentral:misc_RNA from 1 species
AAGGAUCAUUAUUGAAUAUUCUUGAUGGGUUGUAGCUGGCUCUCCGGAGCAUGUGCACACUUGUCUUGACUUUAUUCGUCCACCUGUGCACCUUUUGUAGUCUUGGGGGUUACGAGCAGUCGACUAUCGGAUGGCUAUGGCCUUUCCGGACGUGAGGAUUGCUGAGUGCGAAAGCAUACAGCUCUUCUCUAAUGACUUCUCCCUCGAGUACUAUGUAUUCAUAUACCACAUAGUAUGUUGUAGAAUGUGAUCAAUGGGCCUAUGUGCCUAUAAUAAUGAAAUACAACUUUCAGCAACGGAUCUCUUGGCUCUC